UUUCCAAAAUAUUUAAAAGAACCCCAUAUUUGCACUUGCAUAGACUAUUUCUGGAAAAAGUCUAGAAUGCAAACUCCAUGGGGCUGGUCCUCCUCCCCCACUUGUUCCUGGAUGUGUCUUGAGAGGAUGCCUGGGGUGGAACCGGUGCCUGACAGGUAUGCACGGAAUUAACGAGCUGCCAAGGAAGGAGAUGCUCAUUUUCAUGGGUAGCUGAAAUGAGAGCCAUAAGAAAGCCUGCAAAAUCAACCAGGAAAAGAACAAGCCACAACUGCCGAGUGCCCAGGGUAUGUCAGGGGUUGCCCUGAACCUUUUACAUGCAUUGUCUUCGUUCAUCGUCCCAGCCACUCUCUCAGGGAGGUUCAGUGGUUGUUCCCAUCAUUGAAAAGAUGAAAUGAAGAUUUUGAGAUCUUGAAGAACUGACUUGAGAUCCCACAGGAGGCAAAUGGUGGAGGGAAUCUGGCGCCUGUCACAGCUCCCAGACAGUCUGACUCCAGGGUUCAUGUUCCCAGCAGGACACCUGAAUGCUGAGGAGUCCCUAUGAAGAAGUGGAGCUGAAGGAGUAGCCCUGGGGCUUCCGGUUCUGAGACCACAGUCAGUCAAGAAGCGCUGUCCAGGAGCAUGUUACCCAUGAUCUUUCUGACCACUGGCCCCUCUGACCUACUGCCUUGGUGGGUCGUUUAGUGUAAUCCACCCUGAAAAUAGUCAACAUGUCCAUGUAUCUGACUUUGCCCUAUUUAACUGACCGAAGAUGGCAACUCUCUUUGCCUCAAAUGCUGGGUCCCUUUCUCAGCAGACACAGUAAUGGCACGUCAUGACUGAAGCAUGAGGAUAUUGUAUGUCUGAAGAAAGAGGUUUAAAAUAUUUUAUUAGAGAACAUACAUCAACAUGGAACAACUUUUAAAUACAGGGCAUCCAUACGAAUAAGGACAAUAUAAAUGCUUAUAAUUUGAACAGUCACUUUAUUAAACGAAUAAAAUAAAUUCACUUUUAACUGUG